UACGUAGGGUGCAAGCGUUGUCCGGAAUUAUUGGGCGUAAAGAGCUCGUAGGCGGCUUGUCACGUCGGGUGUGAAAGCCCGGGGCUUAACCCCGGGUCUGCAUUCGAUACGGGCAGGCUAGAGUGUGGUAGGGGAGAUCGGAAUUCCUGGUGUAGCGGUGAAAUGCGCAGAUAUCAGGAGGAACACCGGUGGCGAAGGCGGGUCUCUGGGCAGUAACUGACGCUGAGGAGCGAAAGCGUGGGGAGCGAACAGG
rnacentral:rRNA from 1 species